rnacentral:rRNA from 1 species
AUUGAACGCUGGCGGCAGGCCUAACACAUGCAAGUCGAACGAGUGGCGGACGGGUGAGUAAUGUCUGGGAAACUGCCUGAUGGAGGGGGAUAACUACUGGAAACGGUAGCUAAUACCGCAUACCAUCGGAUGUUCCCAGAUGGGAUUAGCUAGUAGGUGGGGUAAAGGCUCACCUAGGCGACGAUCCCUAGCUGGUCUGAGAGGGUGACCAGCAACACUGGAACGGAGACACGGUCCAGAAUCAUAAGGGAGGCAGCAGUGGGGAAUAUUGAACAAUGGGCGCAAGCCUGAUGCAGCAAUGCCGCGUGAAUGAAGAAGGCCUUCGGGUUGUAAAGUACUUUCAGCGGAGAGGCGUUACCCGCAGAAGAAGCACCGGCUAACUCCGUGCCAGCCGCCGCGGUAAUUC